rnacentral:rRNA from 1 species
GAUUGCAUAUCAAUAAGCGGAGGAAAAGAAACCAACAGGGAUUGCCUUAGUAGCGGCGAGUGAAGCGGCAAAAGCUCAAAUUUGAAAUCUGGCUCUUUCAGAGUCCGAGUUGUAAUUUGAAGAAGGUAUCUUUGGGUCUGGCUCUUGUCUAUGUUUCUUGGAACAGAACGUCACAGAGGGUGAGAAUCCCGUGCGAUGAGAUGAUCCAGGCCUAUGUAAAGUUCCUUCGAAGAGUCGAGUUGUUUGGGAAUGCAGCUCUAAGUGGGUGGUAAAUUCCAUCUAAAGCUAAAUAUUGGCGAGAGACCGAUAGCGAACAAGUACAGUGAUGGAAAGAUGAAAAGAACUUUGAAAAGAGAGUGAAAAAGUACGUGAAAUUGUUGAAAGGGAAGGGCUUGAGAUCAGACUUGGUAUUUUGUAUGUUACUUCUUCGGGGGUGGCCUCUACAGUUUAUCGGGCCAGCAUCAGUUUGGGCGGUAGGAGAAUUGCGUUGGAAUGUGGCACGGCUCCGGUUGUGUGUUAUAGCCUUCGUCGAUACUGCCAGCCUAGACUGAGGACUGCGGUUUAUACCUAGGAUGUUGGCAUAAUGAUCUUAAGUCGCCCGUCUUGAAACACGGACCAAU